CAGGAUUAGAUACCCUGGUAGUCCACGCCGUAAAGAUGAGUGUAGGUGUUUAGGGGGUUUCCGCCCCUUAGUGCUGAAGUUAACGCAUUAAGCACUCCGCCUGGGGAGUACGGCCGCAAGGCUGAAACUCAAAAGAAUUGACGGGGGCCCGCACAAGCGGUGGAGCAUGUGGUUUAAUUCGAAGCAACGCGAAGAACCUUACCAGGUCUUGACAUCCGCUGACAAUCUUGGAGACAAGAGUUCCCUUCGGGGACAGCGUGACAGGUGGUGCAUGGUUGUCGUCAGCUCGUGUCGUGAGAUGUUGGGUUAAGUCCCGCAACGAGCGCAACCCUUGAUUUAGUUGCCAGCAUUAAGUUGGGCACUUAGAGUGACUGCCGGUGACAAACCGGAGGAAGGGGGGAUGACGUCAAAUCAUCAUGCCCCUUAUGACCUGGGCUACACACGUGCUACAAUGGAUGGUACAAAGGGCAGCAAAGUCGCGAGGCUAAGCAAAUCCCAUAAAACCAUUCUCAGUUCGGAUUGCAGGCUGCAACUCGCCUGCAUGAAGCCGGAAUCGCUAGUAAUCGCGGAUCACAUGCCGCGGUGAAUACGUUCCCGGGCCUUGUACACACCGCCCGUCACACCACGAGAGUUGGUAACACCCGAAGUCGGUGAGGUAACCUUUUAGGAGCCAGCCGC
rnacentral:rRNA from 1 species